UGGAAUGUGGUUCAGUGGUAGAGCACUUGCUUAGCAUGCAUGAGACCCUGGGUUUGAUUUCCAGCAAUGUAA
rfam:Ictidomys tridecemlineatus contig056958, whole genome shotgun sequence.